GUGCUGGCUUUGGCAGCACAUACCCUAAAAUUCGAAAAAUGCAGAGAAGUUCAGCACGAUCCUUAUGCAAGGAUGACAUACAAAAUCGUAACAUAUCAUGUUAUA
ensembl:snRNA U6 U6 spliceosomal RNA